rnacentral:rRNA from 1 species
AUGGUUAUCACCUUUGAUAUUCGUCUGGAAGAUGAUAUUGAAGGUAAUAGAGACAUAUGGGGCGAUGUGCAGACGCCUCCAGUUCUACCAUUAUCUUAUCUCCAUUCAACCAAACAUGUCCGGCGCUUAGUAGACAGGACCUUCUACUGUCCCGGAGCUGAACUAAACCGCGAGGAGAUAAGUCAUUAUGUUUCAUGGCUUGAGGAUCUUCAUACUAUCAAGACAGAUUUUUUUCCUGCACUUGGAAAUGUUAGUACUCAAAACGUGCGACCAAUAGUGAUGGUAUUGAACUACGGUCACAUCUAUUUAGGAAUGAUGGGACUCCCGAUGACAUUGUGA